CGAGCCCAUCCAAAACAGGUUUGUGUUAGGGAAAGGGCUGCCUCCAAUUUGUGUCUUCUUUCACUUGGUACAUAGCCUUGUAAGAUCUUGCAAGGUUCAGUAACUGGAGUCUGUACCAAAGUUUGUUAGUAUUUGAGCCCAGUGAGAAGUGAGCUAUGGAAUUCAGGCUAGUAUGGGUCAACAUUAGACAGCACACUGUGUUCUGUAAGCAAGGGAGUGAUUCCAUCCAUUGGCCAUACCAUAUUUGGAAGUGAACUUGAAGCAAAUGCUUUUUUAGCAACCAUUUUAAGUUUGAACCUACUUUCACUAAGGACAGAGGUAUAGAGAGAGGAAAGUGACAGACACAUUUGGAAAGAAUGAAUGAAUGAAGAAAGAGGGAAGAGGACAAGCAAGGGGUAUGACUUUUUCCCCCGAAGACUGCUUUAGCUGCAUCUAAGGAAUUUUGGUCAAGUGGAGAGCCGCUGGACACACUGCUGAGAGACAGAUCUUUUCACUUGGAAACUGUGAUUUAUCCAUCCUUAUUGUAAGAAGAUGGCUGUCCUUGUUCCAAAAGGCUGUCCUCUGUGUGAGGAAUGAUUGUGUGAUCAAUGCCAAUGGUGCGUCUCUGUGUGUGCUCGAGGUCACAUGGCUUAUGAAUCUGGCAACACUUAACGCCACUUGCAGGGAGCAUGUGUGCCCUCCGUCAGAACUCCGUAGGACCGCAGGCUUUAGAGCGGAAAGCCCCUGAGAGAUCAAGACUUGUGCACGAUCACAGAAUCUCCACGUUGGAAAGGGCCUCAGAAGCCACCCGGUCCCACCCAUUCCCGAACAAGAAUCCCCUUUAUAAUAUACCCGACAGGUGCUCAUCCAGCUUUUGCUUGAAGGUCUCAAGUAAUGGGAAGCCCCCCCUGUCUCUUGAGGGAGCCUGUUCCACUUUGCUAUCAUUCUAAUGAUUAGAAAGAUUUUCCUCAGGUGAAGCCCGGAUUUGCCCUUUUGCAUUCAGGCCGCCCCUGCCAGCUCCGCAUUUUACAGAGGAUGAAAAUGGGGACCACAAAUGGUAUGGGGCUCCCUCAAGGCCAGUAGUUAGCAGAGCCAGGAAUAGAACCCAGCCUUCCUCUUUUCCAAUCCAAGGCAUAUUUCUCUCUGCCCCCAAUACCUUGAUUGCUUACUACAGGGAGCUUGUCCAACGUUUGAGGACCUCAUGUGGAAAAGAGUGUAUACGUGUUCAAUUUGCAUUCAGUAUUCAAUAUGCAUUUAUUAAUCACCGAUAGGCACUUAUUAAUCACCUGUGAUGAGCCAAGGUAUACGCUAGAGGCCAGAGGUUCCCAGACUUAUUUGGCAUACCGCCCCCUUUUAAAAAAAAAAUUACUCAGCACCCCCCUGGAAAUCUACUUUCU